UACGUAGGGGGCUAGCGUUGUCCGGAUUUAUUGGGCGUAAAGAGCGUGUAGGCGGCCAAGCAGGUCAGCUGUGAAAACUCGAGGCUCAACCUCGAGACGUCGGUUGAAACCGCUUGGCUAGAGUCCGGAAGAGGAGAGUGGAAUUCCCGGUGUAGCGGUGAAAUGCGCAGAUAUCGGGAAGAACACCCGUGGCGAAGGCGGCUCUCUGGGACGGUACUGACGCUGAGACGCGAAAGCGUGGGGAGCGAACAGG
rnacentral:rRNA from 1 species